UGCGUAGGCGGCUUGGUAAGUUGGGUGUGAAAGCCCUGGGCUCAGCCCGGGAAGGGCACUCGAAACUGCCGAGCUGGAGUGCCGGAGGGGAGAGUGGAAUUCCUGGUGUAGCGGUGAAAUGCGUAGAGAUCAGGAGGAAUACCGGUGGCGAAAGCGACUCUCUGGACGGCAACUGACGCUGAGGCACGAAAGCGUGGGGAGCAAACA
rnacentral:rRNA from 1 species